rnacentral:rRNA from 1 species
ACAGGAUUAGAUACCCUGGUAGUCCACGCUGUAAACUAUGAUCACUCGCUGUAGGCAAUACAUCGUCAGCGCCUGAGCGAAAGCAUUAAGUGAUCCACCUGGGGAGUACGGUCGCAAGAUUGAAACUCAAAGGAAUUGACGGGGGCCCGCACAAGCGGAGGAACAUGUGGUUCAAUUCGAUGAUACGCGAGGAACCUUACCUGGGCUUAAAUGCAGAGCGACGUCCGCCGAAAGGUGGAUUCCUUCGGGCGAUCUGCAAGGUGCUGCAUGGUUGUCGUCAGCUCGUGCCGUGAGGUGUCGGGUUAAGUCCCAUAACGAGCGCAACCCUUAUCGUUAGUUGCCAGCGGGUAAUGCCGGGGACUCUAACGAAACUGCCGGUGUAAACCGUGAGGAAGGUGGGGAUGACGUCAAAUCAGCACGGCCCUUAUGUCCAGGGCUACACACGUGUUACAAUGGUCGGUACAGAGGGCAGCUACCACGCAAGUGGAUGCUAAUCUCGAAAACCGGUCUCAGUUCGGAUUGAAGUCUGCAACUCGACUUCAUGAAGCUGGAUUCGCUAGUAAUCGCGCAUCAGCCAUGGCGCGGUGAAUACGUUCCCGGGCCUUGUACACACCGCCCGUCAAGCCAUGGAAGCUUGGGGUACCUCAAGUCCGUAACCGCA